rnacentral:sRNA from 1 species
CCGUUCCCUUCAGGACCACCAAUAAUCCCGCCACCCCCUCCCAUCUCUCCCGACUGUCUGGAUGACACUGAUGCCCUGGGCAGUAUGCUAAUCUCUUGGUACAUGAGUGGCUACCACACUGGCUACUAUAUGCCAGGUCUAAAAUUCAACGGCCCG